rnacentral:lncRNA from 1 species
UAAGCUAAUGAAAUGGUAAAUAUGAAAUAUAGGUUCUGAAAGUGAAAAACAAUAUGAAACUGAAAUGUCAACUUGUGAAACUGAUUUUUUUAAAAUAUGUAAUAAUUUAUUUCAGGAGAGUGAAAUAUGUUAUUUCAAAAUAUACAAUUGAAAUAAAUAUGACUUUGCUGAAACAAACCGGUGAAAGGUUUUAAAAAUAUAAAAUACCCCCUUAGUUCCUAUAUGUAGUGUGUACUGUUUUUCAAGCAAAGUUCCACAACGUAGGGCGCAGUUGUGUUUUGGACGAAAAUAACCCUCGCUAGACUGGAAGUGUGUGGCUGAGAACUGCCCGAUUGUUGGACACAUGCAUGUGAGCAAGCUGAGUGGAGGGUAACAGAGUCCAAAGUACAGAUGACAUCACACACAUUGGUCUUGGAGCGGGAAUGAAACACACACUAUAUAAAGGAACAGAAGGAGUAAGUUAUUUCUAUAAUAUGCAAUUGAGACAGAUGUGAUUUUUAUGAAACAAGCGACUGAAAAGUGAAAUGUAGGUUCUGAAAGUGAAAAACAAUAAGAAAUUCAAAUGUAAACUUGUGAAACUGAUAUUUGGAAUUGUGAAAUAUGUUACUUCAAAACAGUGAAAUUAAAAUAGACAUGAUUUUUGUGAAACAAAACAGUGAAAAGUGAAAUGUAUGUUCUGAAUUGUGAAAUGUAGGUUCUGGAUUGUAAAAUAGUGACAACAGAAAGUGAAAUUACAACGUGCCAAUGUGAAACUGAUUAUUUGUAAAUGUGAAACAAUUCUAUUUAAAAAAAGAGAAAUAUGUUAUUUGAGAAAUGUCCAUUUGAAAUAGAUGAUAUAUUUGUAAAACAAGCGGGUGAAAAGUAAAAUGUAAGUUGUGAAUUGUGAGAUAGUAAAUACAUAAAGUAAAAUUAUAGUUUAGCAUCGUGAAACUGAUUAUUUCAAAAUAUGAAACAAAUGUUUGAAUUUAAAUGUUUUUAAAAAAUAUUCAAAACUGGUCUCCUUUUAAAGGUUACGGAACAAGGAGUCCGGAUAUAAAAAAAGUUUCAAAAAGGGAUAUGUGACUUAAUAGAUAUGGAUGAUUUAAAUUAGCCAAAGUGAAAUAAAAGGUUGGAUAUGCGACACUGCUGUCGGUUCUGCAUGUAAAGUAUAUCGAUGGUGGGGUAGCUGCUGAAAUACCAAUAUUUAUAACAGCUUAGCUAAAACACGCCUAUUUAUGACAUAAAUAUUGCACAUCUAGUUUCUAUGACAUUGAAG